AACGAACGCUGGCGGCAGGCCUCAAACAUGCAAGUCUAGGGGUGUAGCAAUACAUCACCGGCGGACGGGUGCGUAACGCGUGGGAAUAUACCUAUCGAUUCGGAACAACUGAGGGAAACUUCAGCUAAUACCGAAUACGUCCUAACGGAGAAGAUUUAUCGUCGAUAGAUUAGCCCGCGUUCGAUUAGCUAGUUGGUGGGGUAACGGCCCACCAAGGCGACGAUCGAUAGCUGUUCUGAGAGGAAGAUCAGCCACACUGGGACUGAGACACGGCCCAGACUCCUACGGGAGGCAGCAGUUGGGAAUCUUGGACAAUGGGGGGAAACCCGUGAUCCAGCCAUGCCGCGUGAGUGAUGAAGGCCUUCGGGUUGUAAAACUACUUUCGCGCACGACGAUAAUGACGGUAGUGCGAGAAGAAGCUCCGGCUAACUUCGUGCCAGCAGCCGCGGUAAU
rnacentral:rRNA from 1 species